rnacentral:rRNA from 1 species
UACGGGGGGGGCAAGCGUUGUUCGGAAUUACUGGGCGUAAAGGGCUCGUAGGCGGCCAACUAAGUCGGACGUGAAAUCCCUCGGCUUAACCGGGGAACUAUGUCCGAUACUGGAUGGCUGGAGUUCGGGAGAGGGAUGCGGAAUUCCAGGUGUAGCGGUGAAAUGCGUAGAUAUCUGGAGGAACACCGGUGGCGAAGGCGGCAUCCUGGACCGACACUGACGCUGAGGAGCGAAAGCCAGGGGAGCAAACGGG